rnacentral:rRNA from 1 species
AACGAACGCUGGCGGCAGGCUUAACACAUGCAAGUCGAACGCCCCGCAAGGGGAGUGGCAGACGGGUGAGUAACGCGUGGGAACAUACCCUUUCCUGCGGAAUAGCUCUGGGAAACUGGAAUUAAUACCGCAUACGCCCUACGGGGGAAAGAUUUAUCGGGGAAGGAUUGGCCCGCGUUGGAUUAGCUAGUUGGUGGGGUAAAGGCCUACCAAGGCGACGAUCCAUAGCUGGUCUGAGAGGAUGAUCAGCCACAUUGGGACUGAGACACGGCCCAAACUCCUACGGGAGGCAGCAGUGGGGAAUAUUGGACAAUGGGCGCAAGCCUGAUCCAGCCAUGCCGCGUGAGUGAUGAAGGUCUUAGGAUUGUAAAAUCCUUUCACCGGUGAAGAUAAUGACUGUAGCCGGAGAAGAAGCCCCGGCUAACUUCGUGCCAGCCGCCGCAGUAAAAC